rnacentral:lncRNA from 1 species
GUCGAAUCAGAGCUACAGCUGCCGGCCUUUGCCACAGCCACGCCAGAUCUGAACCACAUCUGCAACCUACACCAUAGCUCAUGGCAAUGCUAGAUCCUUAAGCCACUGAGAGAGGCCAGGGAUCGAACCUGCAUCCUCAUGGAUACUAGUUGGGUUCGUUUCCACUGAGCCACAGCAGGAACUCCUCAGAGUGCAGUAAGAUAUUUUUCAGCACCAGAAUAUCUUGGUUAUCUCCAAAGAUGGCUGGUAAGAGGGUGAGAGGCCUUGGAAAUUGCAACUGUAGUUUGGGCUUGCUUGUAGUGUGUGAACAGAACAAAUGAUCUUCUGGUUUUGGAGUUUCGGCACCUGUGGAAAAAUCUGAUUGAGUUUAUACUUCAAGUACCCUAUGCAUUUAUAUCCUUUAUAUUUUCUCUUGGUUUUGUGGGAAUUUCAGCCUGUGUUUGCUAAGGAGAGCCACAGAAACGUGGUGUUCUGGGCCUGGGAAUGAUGGGUGUGGAAUCUCCCAUUCUGUUCACCAGCUGGUUUGGGGGGAAUCCCUGGCCUGGAGGGCAUAGAUUCGGGCUCGUCCAUUUUGGGGUCCUCUUUGCACAGGACCUGCAGUGGGAAGCAUUCAAUAGAAUGUUGUUUGGAGAAGGGAAUAAAAGAAGUUGCUCUCCCUGCAAAAGUAAAACUGGAAGUCUUCUCAGGUACAGUAGGGACCUCAAUUAGUGAAGUUCACAUUCAAGGCUGCAUCUUUCCACCCCCUCCUUGUGCCCUCUAGUCACAUUAGAUGAGAACUCUCACCUGAAUCCUCUGUGCUGUUCUCCUGGGAGGCCCUUGACGGCCCCCACCGCCAGCUCACUCUUUGUCAAAGCCAGUCUACCCCUGAAGCCUUGGCUUAGGGACCAUCUCCUCCUAGAAGGCUUUUCUGAUUCCCACUCCCACCCCAAAACCUUUCUCUUCCUCCCCCUUGGUCCCCAUUUUCUUCCUGUGAUCAAACUGCCUUGCAUUUUCCUCAGCACUAAGAGUUUGGGCACCAACCCAGCCUGGGGAGGCAUGAGAGGCAGGAGAGGAAGUGAGAGAGACCACGGAUGGUCUCUUCACGGAGGAAGUGACCGAGGCUGGGCUGGGGCAGGGGCCUGGAAAGCCAGGGGGAAAUGGUUUGAGAUGAGGCUGGAGCCUGGCAAGAGGAGGCCAAUCAGAGCCUCGGCCCAAGGCUGGGCUUCAUCCAGUGGCGGUCAUGAGGAAGGGUUUGUACUUGAACACUAAGUGCCUGUGUCAGGUUCCAGAAGGUUCCCUUGGGCUGCUGUGUAGAGAAUCAGCUGGUGGGGGGGGGGGGGGGGGGGGGGCAAANAGGCCCUUGGCCAUUGCUCUGUGUAAAAAGACAUGAUAGAGGUCUGGACCAGGAUGAGGGCAGAAGGUGGCAUAUCUGGGAUCAUUUAGGAAGCGAAAUCAAAGAGACUUGGAGUCACUGGGAGAGAGCCAUGUCUAGUCCCACAGGAGGUGAGUAAUUGCCCAACAGCCUCCUCUUUGUCCUAACAUGCAUCUUGCAAUUUCAAUGCUGUGUGACUCCUGAGAGGCAUUGCUGCAGCCCAGGGUCUCUGGUCCCUGAGUCCAACCCCCCCAUCCCCAUCCAGCCCUACAGGUGGGGGUGGAGGCUCCUCCUCCAAGUGGGCCACUGCUUCCUACAGAGCAAUGUGACUUGGGCCUCUGAGGUGAAGGAGAGACAGGCCAGUUGCUGAGAUCUGUGUCCCUGGGAUCAGCUAAAAUGAAAUUCAGGGAGUUCCCAUCGUGGCGCAGUGGUUAACGAAUCCGACUAGGAACCAUGAGGUUGUGGGUUUGGUCCCUGCCCUUGCUCAGUGGGUUAACGAUCCGGCGUUGCCGUGAGCUGUGGUGUAGGUUGCAGACGCGGCUCGGAUCCCGCGUUGCUGUGGCUCUGGCGUAGGCCGGCGGCUACAGCUCCGAUUUGACCCCUAGCCUGGGAACCUCCAUAUGCCGCAGAAGCGGCCCAAAGAAAUAGCAAAAAGCCAAAAAAAAAAAAAAGAAAUUCAGCCCCCCUCACACCCAGCCUUCGGCCCAGGUUCAAGGGCCUGCAGAGGCCCUGGCUCAUCUCCAGAUACCUCUUGUAGGGAUAGAGCUGCUCAUCCAGUUCUGAAUUGGGUGGUAGUUUUCUUCAUCUUUGGAGCGUGGAGGAGUAGAAGUGGAAACAUCCAGAAUUUAAGGUCCAGCAUAUAGAUAGGAAGUUUAUGGUAAAACUCUCAUCAGCUGCCCCCUAACGCCAUGAAAAUAUGUGAAAAACAUAUUUAUUGCAUGUUCAGAUCGGAAGUCACUGAAGAUGGAAUUCCCAUUAUGGGUCAGCAUUAACGAACCCUACUAGUAUCCAUGAGGACGCAG